rnacentral:rRNA from 1 species
UACGUAGGUGACAAGCGUUGUCCGGAUUUACUGGGCGUAAAGAGCGCGCAGGCGGUCGUUCAAGUCGAGUGUGAAAGCCCCGGCUCAACUGGGGAGGUCAUUCGAUACUGAUCGACUCGAAGGCAGGAGAGGGAAGUGGAAUUCCCGGUGUAGUGGUGAAAUGCGUAGAUAUCGGGAGGAACACCAGUGGCGAAGGCGACUUCUGGCCUGUUCUGACGCUGAGGCGCGAAAGCUAGGGAGCAACGGG